rnacentral:rRNA from 1 species
GACAGAGGGUGCAAACGUUGUUCGGAAUUACUGGGCGUAAAGCGCGUGUAGGCGGCCCUGUAAGUCGGGUGUGAAAUCCCACGGCUCAACCGUGGAAGUGCAUUCGAAACUACAGGGCUAGAGUUCUGGAGAGGAAGGUGGAAUGCUUGGUGUAGAGGUGAAAUUCGUAGAUAUCAAGCGGAACACCGGUGGCGAAGGCGGCCUUCUGGGACAGUAACUGGACGCUGAGACGCGAA